UUCAUAUCAGAGUCUCUCCCAAUAUGUCUCUGUGGUCUUAUAUCGUGCUAUACCACUAUCUCUCUCUCUCUCUCUCUCUCUCUCUCGCUCUCUCUCUCUCCCUUCUCUCUACACAUAUCUAAUUUCUUUCACUUCUCUCACUCCUCUCUUCACCCUUCUCUCUCAUUUAUCCUUCUUCUCUUUAACACUCUCUCCCUUAACCUCACCCUCUUUUUAACACUCGCUCCCUUUCUCUCCCCAUCUCUGUCUCUCUCAACCCCCUCCCCUCUUCUCCCAGGAUGUAGGUUCUAGUGGUCUGUCCUCUUACUGGGAGUCCAGGAUGCUGCAGGGUUCCAUCAUGGCUGCUGCCCUGGAAGAGCCAGCUGUGGUGCGGGUCGACCCGGUCACCCUGACCCCCCUCCAGGACACAGACUGGCACUCUGUAAACCACAGCCGAGCACAGAUCCUAGUGUGGGGAGAGGGUAGUGUAUUCUGACACAGAGCCUGGGACUGAGGGGAGAGUGAGAUAGUGAGUGCUGGAAAUAGGAGAAUGAGAGGCAGAUUCUGUGACAGAGGACUGAAGUGUAGAGAUGUACUGUUUACACAUCCGCUACUUCUUCUCUAACCUGAGCAGAGAGGUCAGUGUGUGUGUGUGUGUGUGUGUGUGUUUCUGUGCAGCAUGUUUUUGGAGAAAAAGUGUGUGAAAGUGACGCCUACCCAUUAUUGUAGUUUCUCUCGACCUCUCACUCUCUGUCAAAAUGCAUCCCUCUGUCAGUAACUCUUUGGUGGGGCGCUGCUACAGAUACAGGUGUACUGGGCUGAACAGGUACCAAAUAACAGUGUCUGGCUCUGACUGGAUGGACUGGCCAGUAGGAGGUGCCAUUGAGGUCACUGAGUUUGAUGAGCUUGAAUGACUUUAUUACCAAAUACCUCUCUGUAUACAACCUUGCUAACCUGAUUAUAUUCUAUCUCUCAUUCAUUCAGUCAUUCAAUCAUUUAUUCAUCAGGUGACUACGACCACCAACAACAAACAGGUCCCUCACUCUCCAACUGCCUCUAUUACUGACCCAAUGAUCACUGAGAAGUGAGUAUACACGAGUAGGAAGUGGAGUUAUAGUAUUUUAUAUCAACUUGAUAAAAUGUAUCUUUAUCACAGAACAAUACACAAUUGCAAUGCAAUACCUAUAUUCAGUAUAAAUAAAGUCUUUCUUCUCAUCUCUUCCUCCGUGAUUCCCUGUUACAUCAGAACACAACCCCUUUAUAUGUUUUAUAUAUAAAUCUUCCUCUAAAAAUGCUUUCACCACCUUUGAUGUCACUACCAAAAAACACACAAAAGACUAGAAUGAACCAACAAUUAUAACCAGGAAAUGGGAUUGCACCCUUCUGCCUCACGGUCACAUGGUGAGUAAUCUGUCUGAUAACAUUUUGAAGAAAAUGAGUG
rnacentral:lncRNA from 13 species